GAGUUUGAUCAUGGCUCAGAUUGAACGCUGGCGGCGUGCCUAACACAUGCAAGUCGAUCGGUAACGCGGGGCAACCUGGCGACGAGAGGCGGACGGGUGAGUAACGCUUGGGAAUCUGCCUAUUAGUGGGGGACAACCCGGGGAAACUCGGGCUAAUACCGCAUACGCUCCACGGAGGAAAGCAGGGGAUCGCAAGACCUUGCGCUAAUAGAUGAGCCCAAGUCGGAUUAGCUAGUUGGUGGGGUAACGGCCCACCAAGGCGACGAUCCGUAGCUGGUCUGAGAGGACGACCAGCCACACUGGGACUGAGACACGGCCCAGACUCCUACGGGAGGCAGCAGUGGGGAAUAUUGGACAAUGGGGGAAACCCUGAUCCAGCGACGCCGCGUGGGUGAAGAAGGCCUGCGGGUUGUAAAGCCCUUUCGGUGGGGAAGAAAAGCCUCGACCUAAUACGUCGGGGUCUUGACGUAACCCAUAGAAGAAGCACCGGCUAACUCUGUGCCAGCAGCCGCGGUA
rnacentral:rRNA from 1 species